rnacentral:lncRNA from 1 species
AGGAGACAGCCAGACUAGCGUCUGCAUCACCAUCGAGCCAGGACUGCUCUUGAAGGGAGACAUCUUGCUGAAGUGCUACCACAAGAAGUUCCGAAGCCCAGCCCGAGACGUCAUCUUCCGUGUGCAGUUCCACACCUGUGCCAUCCAUGACCUGGGGGUUGUCUUUGGGAAGGAGGACCUUGAUGAUGCUUUCAAAGAUGAUCGAUUUCCAGAGUAUGGCAAAGUGGAGUUUGUAUUUUCUUAUGGGCCAGAGAAAAUUCAAGGCAUGGAGCACCUGGAGAACGGGCCGAGCGUGUCUGUGGACUAUAACACCUCCGACCCCCUCAUCCGCUGGGACUCCUACGACAACUUCAGUGGGCAUCGAGAUGACGGCAUGGAGGGGGCCCAGCACCCUCAGAUUGGCCAAGACACCCCACCAGGCCCCUCCGACCCCCCAGGCUGCUUGUGAAAAGCACUCCUCCAUCCCCGGGCGCUGAGCGGCCAAGCAGAAAGCAGAGGCUGGAGCGAAUUUGUUCUGAGGUUUCAGUGGCUGCCAGCCUAAUUGGUCGUUGUGCUGGGGAUGUUUGCAUUUUUAACAAGAACAUUUGGCAAUUGGAAAGAA